CGGGCGGCCGCGGGGGCUGACGGGUAGCGAGGCCCGCCUCGGAAUCUCGAUGCUGAAGAGGGACUUUGCGGUGGGCCUUUUACAUCUGUAGACGCCGGAGGCCCGCAGAAAGGAUACUGUGUCGGAGGAGGUAAAGCACAAGAAAGUGCUUUGUAACCGGAAAGUACCUUUCAAAACACCUCCUGAUUUGCUCCUGCUACCUGGUAGAGACGGAACACCUGAUCAUGGGACAUCAAGUGACCAUGUGAAUAAUAAAACCACCCAUCAUGAACUGGUGUUAUCUGAUUCACCGCACCAUACAACUGGAUGAGCACAGAAGCAGUCUACUCCCUAUGAGACUGGGACACGGCUACAAUUAAACUAAAUGAGCAGGUGACUCAGACUCCUAUAGUCCCUGACUCUACUCUUCAGCACUUCUCCCCAAACCCAUAUAAAUUGGCUUCAUGAGGAGUUCUUUCUGACCAAUUAACGGAAGAGAAAAAAGCAUGGGUCCUGUUUGUUCAUGGAAGAAUCUGCAGUGAGCUGGCAAUAGCUGGAUGUGAGUGGCCACCACACGCCACCACCACUCAUUAGCGGCCCUGACCCAGAAUCGUAAAGGGAAAUCCUUCCAUAGGGAAGAACUUUAGGAGACAUGGCCUGAGGUAAGGGUAUACACUGGUCUGUUGUCAGUGGCUUAUGAGUUGACAGGCUAGACAAGAACUUGGAGAGAACAAAUUGGAAAGCUGGUUCCAUUUAUGAGGCCAGCUGGCAUACAAUAACCUGCAAAUUGGGGAUGCUGACCUAAAGAAUGAAGUAUAUGCUUAAAAGCAGUAAUCAGUAUAUGGUGCCACCUUCCCCAAAUUGUAUGCAGAGUGGAGAUGAGAGUAGUCCCUCUAUUUUCAGUAUGACUAAUUUUGUAAAAAAAAAAAUUGGUGGCAUGUUUUCCAAACUUGGUGAAAAGCAUAAAAGUACAAAUCCACAAAGCUCAGUAAAUCACAAGCAGAAAAAU